ensembl:snRNA U6 U6 spliceosomal RNA
ACUUUUUUGUCAACAUACAUGCUAAAAUUGGAGCAAUACAGAGAUGAUCAUGGUUCCUGCACAAUGAUAACAUACCAGUUCAUGAAGAGCCCCAUUUUUUC